rnacentral:rRNA from 1 species
CCUACGGGAGGCAGCAGUGGGGAAUAUUGGACAAUGGGCGAAAGCCUGAUCCAGCCAUGCCGCGUGUGUGAAGAAGGCCUUCGGGUUGUAAAGCACUUUCAGUGGGGAAGAAAGCCUUGGGGCUAAUACCCUCGAGGAAGGACAUCACCCACAGAAGAAGCACCGGCUAACUCCGUGCCAGCAGCCGCGGUAAUACGGAGGGUGCGAGCGUUAAUCGGAAUUACUGGACGUAAAGCGCGCGUAGGCGGUCUGAUAAGCCGGUUGUGAAAGCCCCGGGCUCAACCUGGGAACGGCAUCCGGAACUGUCAGGCUAGAGUGCAGGAGAGGAAGGUAGAAUUCCCGGUGUAGCGGUGAAAUGCGUAGAGAUCGGGAGGAAUACCAGUGGCGAAGGCGGUCUUCUGGACUGACACUGACGCUGAGGUGCGAAAGCGUGGGUAGCAAACAGGAUUAGAUACCCUUGUAGUC